UGCUACUGUGAUGACAUUAUUUGCUACUCUUGAAAAGUAGAUGAUGAAUUGCAUAACCACCUUAUUGCAUUAUCUGAGGCA
rnacentral:snoRNA from 1 species